rnacentral:rRNA from 1 species
UGGGGAAUAUUGGGGCAAUGGGGGAAACCCUGACCCAGCAACGCCGCGUGAAGGAAGAAGGCCUUCGGGUUGUAACUUCUUUUAUCCACGGGAGCGAAGGACGUGACGGUACCUGGAGAAAAAGCAACGGCUAACUACGUGCCAACAGCCGCGGUAAUACGUAGGUUGCGAGCGUUGUCCGGAUUUACUGGGUGUAAAGGGCGUGUAGGCGGAGAAGCAAGUUGGGAGUGAAAUCUAUGGGCUCAACCCAUAAACUGCUCUCAAAACUGUUUCCCUUGAGUAUCGGAGAGGCAAGCGGAAUUCCUAGUGUAGCGGUGAAAUGCGUAGAUAUUAGGAGGAACACCAGUGGCGAAGGCGGCUUGCUGGACGACAACUGACGCUGAGGCGCGAAAGCGUGGGGAGCAAACAGGAUUAGAUACCC